CCCUUAGAUGUUCUGGGCUGCACGCGCGCUACACUGAUGCGUUCAACGAGUUUUUAGCUUAUCUGAUAAGAUUGGCUAAUCUUCUGAAAACGCAUCGUGAUGGGGAUAGAUUAUUGUAAUUAUUAAUCUUCAACGAGGAAUUCCUAGUAGGUGUGAAUCAUCAGUUCACGCCGAUUACGUCCCUGCCCUUUGUACACACCGUCCGUCGCUCCUACCGAUUGAGUGAUCCGGUGAAUAAUUCGGACCGGUGAGCUUCCAGGUUUACCUGGCUGCUUGCUGGAAAGUCUAGUGAACCUUAUCACUUAGAGGAAGGAGAAGUCGUAACA
rnacentral:rRNA from 1 species